AGAAAAGAUAUUUAAUCUAGACAAAUCAUAUAUAAACACUGACUCCAUAGCGUAGAUGUAAUAUGUAAGAUUUAUUGUUAAAAUACAUUCUCUUAACUCAGUUAUUGUUCAUUGACUGUUAUGCCAAUUAUGAGUUUAUUUAAACAUUGAGCCUCCGAGUCACCAUCAGGGUGUGGCUACUGUACCAGGUGGGGAGUUUGGGGCGUGGCUACUAUAGCAGGCGGGGAGUUUGGGGUGUGGCUACUGUAACGGGGGGUGGGGGGGGGCGUGGCUACUGUAACGGGGGGGGAGUUUGGGGUGGCUAGUGUACCAGGUGGAGCGUUUGGGGCGUGGCUACUGUAACAGGCGGAGAGUUUGGGGUGUGGUUACUGUACCAGGUGGAGAGUGGGCGUGGCUACUGUAGCAGAUGGAGAGUUUGGGGCGUGGCUACUAUAGCAGAUGGAGAGUUUGGGGCGUGGCUACUGUAGCAGGUGGGGAGUUUGGGUCGUGGCUACUGCAGCAGGUGGUGAGUCUGGGGCGUGGCUACUGCAGCAGGUGGUGAGUUUGGGGCAUGGCUACUGCAGCAGGUGGUGAGUUUGGGGCGUGGCUACUGCAGCAGGUGGUGAGUCUGGGGCGUGGCUACUACUGCAGCAGACGGAGAGGUUGGGGCGUGGCUACUGUCGCAAAUGGAGAGUUUGGGGCGUGGCUAGUGUAGCAGGUGGAAAGUUUGGGGCGUGGCUACUGCAGCAGGUGGUGAGUUUGGGGCGUGGCUAGUGUAGCAGGUGGUGAGUUUGGGGCGUGGCUACUGCAGCAGGUGGUGAGUUUGGGGCGUGGCUAGUGUAGCAGGUGGUGAGUUUGGGGUGUGGCUACUGUACCAGGUGGAGAGUUUGGGGCGUGGUUACUGUACCAGGUGGAGAGUGGGCGUGGCUACUGUACCAGGUGGAGAGUUUGGGGCGUGGUUACUGUACCAGGUGGAGAGUGGGUGUGGCUACUGUAGCAGAUGGAGAGUUUGGGGCGUGGCUACUAUAGCAGGUGGAGAGUUUGGGGCGUGGCUACUAUUGUAGCAGAUGGAGAGUUUGGGGCAUGGCUACUGUAGCAGGUGGAGAGUUUGGGGCGUGGCUAGUGUAGCAGGUGGAGAGUUUCGGGCGUGGCUAGUGUAGCAGGUGGAACGUUUGGGGCAUGGCUACUGCAGCAGGUGGAAAGUUUGGGGCGUGGCUACUGUAGCAGGUGGGGAGUUUGGGUCAUGGCUAGUGUAGCAGGUGGUGAGUUUAGGGCGUGGCUACUGUAACAGGUGGAGAGUUUGGGGCGUGGCUACUACUGCAGCAGACGGAGAGGUUGGGGCAUGGCUACUGUCGCAAAUGGAGAGUUUGGGGCGUGGCUAGUGUAGCAGGAGGUGAGUUUGGGGCGUGGCUACUGCAGCAGGUGGUGAGUUUGGGGCGUGGCUAGUGUAGCAGGUGGUGAGUUUGGGGCGUGGCUACUGCAGCAGGUGGUGAGUUUGGGGUGUGGCUACUGCAGCAGGUGGUGAGUUUGGGGCGUGGCUACUGCAGCAGGUGGUGAGUUUGGGGCGUGGCUAGUGUAGCAGGUGGUGAGUUUGGGGCGUGGCUACUGCAGCAGGUGGUGAGUUUGGGGCGUGGCUAGUGUAGCAGGUGGUGAGUUUGGGGCGUGGCUACUGCAGCAGGUGGUGAGUUUGGGGCGUGGCUAGUGUAGCAGGUGGUGAGUUUGGGGUGUGGCUACUGUACCAGGUGGAGAGUUUGGGGCGUGGUUACUGUACCAGGUGGAGAGUGGGCGUGGCUACUGUACCAGGUGGAGAGUUUGGGGCGUGGUUACUGUACCAGGUGGAGAGUGGGCGUGGCUACUGUAGCAGAUGGAGAGUUUGGGGCGUGGCUACUAUAGCAGGUGGAGAGUUUGGGGCGUGGCUAGUGUAGCAGGUGGAGAGUUUGGGGCGUGGCUAGUGUAGCAGGUGGAACGUUUGGGGCGUGGCUACUGCAGCAGGUGGUGAGUUUGGGGCAUGGCUACUGCAGCAGGUGGAAAGUUUGGGGCGUGGCUACUGUAGCAGGUGGGGAGUUUGGGUCAUGGCUAGUGUAGCAGGUGGUGAGUUUAGGGCGUGGCUACUGUAACAGGUGGAGAGUUUGGGGCGUGGCUACUACUGCAGCAGACGGAGAGGUUGGGGCAUGGCUACUGUCGCAAAUGGAGAGUUUGGGGCGUGACUAGUGUAGCAGGUGGUGAGUUUGGGGCGUGGCUACUGCAGCAGGUGGUGAGUUUGGGGCGUGGCUAGUGUAGCAGGUGGUGAGUUUGGGGCGUGGCUACUGCAGCAGGUGGUGAGUUUGGGGCGUGGCUAGUGUAGCAGGCAGAGAGAACAUACUACAUAUAAACAAAGUUAUGGCCGUAGUCGUGGAACAGAGUUCACUUACCG